rnacentral:lncRNA from 1 species
UAAUUACUAUUUUUGUUUAUGUAUUUUUUGAAGCACGUUCUUUUUUUUAAAAUGUACAUGCAAAUACAUGUAUACACAUACGUACAUAUAUUUUUACUCAUAUGAAAACAAUAUGCAGAUUCGUGAAUCUAUUCAAGUAAAUAGAAAAAACAAGAGUAUAUCAUGUAUCUUUAACUGAUGUGCUAAAUGAAUAAAAACGAAAACUAAGACAAUCAAACAUCUACAGUUUAAUAAAAAGAAAAAUAGUUAUAAAAAGCACAUACAAAAGGGUAAAAACAAAAUGAAAUAUGAGGACUUUAAUUUUAUUCGUACACUUGGUAUUGGCUCCUUUGGGAGAGUGAUGCUUGCAAAGUACAAAAAUGAGGAUUGUCCACCAGUAGCUAUAAAGCGAUUUGAAAAAAGCAAGAUAAUAAGACAAAAGCAAGUAGAUCAUGUAUUUUCAGAACGGAAAAUAUUAAAUAAUAUAAACCAUCCUUUUUGUGUAAUAAAAGAAAAAAUAAAUAAUUCGAUGUUCUGUUACUGCCAUUUGUGUGUGUUAAAUCGUUAUUAUUUUUGUUUGGACCAUAUACAUAUAGCUAUAUAGACAUGUAUACAUGUAAAGAUAUAUAUAUAUACAAAAUUUUGUGUGCAUAAAACUCUGUUUUUAUGUAUACUUUUCUAUAAAUAAAAAUAAUUGAAAUAAUGUGAAUACGUACUUA